GUAGCAAAUCUCAAACCCUUUCACCAUCUCUGGACUUCCACUGAAACAGACUUGCUUGGUCCUCCUCCACUACCAGCAGCAUUCUAUAAAUCAUAGCACCUAUUCCUGCAUGCAUGCUUCGAAGCUCUGAGGGAACAAGCCCAGAGGAUUCUAGGUCACAUCAAAGAAGGUUGUUUAGAGAGUGAGGCCAAGAGGCCAUGCCUGCCGCUUCAGGAGAUGGAAGAAAUGACAAGAACUCCAAAGGGUACCACACAGCCUAGGUGUGCCUCUCCCCGAACCAGGGAGCAUUAGCAAAGAAAAACGUCAUUUCUUCCUGACAUUUCAACCCCUGGAGGAGAAGGAGACACGGACUGUAAAGGAAACAUUGACUGUACACUGAACAUACUUCACUGGCCACUUGGGAGGAGUAACUUUGCCAGUUCGCAGCAUGUGGGAUCAGCAGCCGGCUGCAAUCCUGUCCAGUUCAGACUCAUCCACAACCAGCCACAAGAAUGCUGUUUUCUCCCAGAGGGCUCAGACUCCAGAGAAUCAGCACUUCCAUCAAGGUCUGCAGGGUUCUUUCCAUGGAAGACAUUUGAAGAAAACGAU